GCUGAUGUAGCUCAACUGGUAGAGCAGCUGACUUGUAAUCAGCAGGUUAAGAGUUCAAGUCUCUUCAUCAGCU
rnacentral:tRNA from 1 species